UACGUAGGGGGCAAGCGUUGUCCGGAAUCAUUGGGCGUAAAGAGCGUGUAGGUGGCUCGGUAAGUCCGCUGUGAAAGUCCAGGGCUCAACCCUGGAAAGCCGGUGGAAAUUGUCGAGCUCGAGUCCGGAAGAGGCGAGUGGAAUUCCUGGUGUAGCGGUGAAAUGCGCAGAUAUCAGGAGGAACACCAAUGGCGAAGGCAGCUCGCUGGGACGGUACUGACACUGAGACGCGAAAGCGUGGGGAGCAAACAGG
rnacentral:rRNA from 1 species